UAUGUUCAUAGUAGAGAGCUGUUGUUUGAAUUGAUAUUACGAGAAAACAUGAUCAAUAGUGCCACUUUGUUGAAUGAAA
rnacentral:tRNA from 1 species